AACGAACGCUGGCGGCAGGCCUAACACAUGCAAGUCGAGCGAGGACUUCGGUCCUAGCGGCGGACGGGUGAGUAACGCGUGGGAACGUGCCCUUUGCUUCGGAAUAGCCUUGGGAAACUGGGAGUAAUACCGAAUGUGCCCUUCGGGGGAAAGAUCUAUCGGCAAAGGAUCGGCCCGCGUUGGAUUAGGUAGUUGGUGGGGUAACGGCCUACCAAGCCGACGAUCCAUAGCUGGUUUGAGAGGAUGAUCAGCCACACUGGGACUGAGACACGGCCCAGACUCCUACGGGAGGCAGCAGUGGGGAAUCUUAGACAAUGGGCGCAAGCCUGAUCUAGCCAUGCCGCGUGAGCGAUGAAGGCCUUAGGGUUGUAAAGCUCUUUCAGCGAGGAAGAUAAUGACUGUACUCGCAGAAGAAGCCCCGGCUAACUCCGUGCCAGCCGCCGCGGUAAUAC
rnacentral:rRNA from 1 species